rnacentral:SRP_RNA from 1 species
GCCGGGCGUGGUGGCUCACGCCUGUAAUCCCAGCACUUUGGGAGGCCAAGGUGGGUGGAUCACCUGAGGUCAGGAGUUCAAGACCAGCCUGGCCAACAUGGUGAAACCCCAUCUCUA